rnacentral:rRNA from 1 species
GUCUACGGCCAUGCCACCCUGAACGAGCCCGAUCUCGUCUGAUUUUGAAAGCUAAGCAGGGUCGGAAGCUAAGCAGGGUCGGGCCUGGUUAGUACUUGGAUGGGAGACCACCUAGGAAGACCAGGUGCUGUAGGCA